rnacentral:rRNA from 1 species
UACGUAGGCAGCGAGCGUUGUUCGGAAUUACUGGGCGUAAAGAGUGUGUAGGCGGUGCUCCCAGUCUGUUGUGAAAUCUCCCGGCUUAACUGGGAGGGUGCAGCGGAAACUAGAGUGCUAGAGGGUGGGAGAGGUAAGCGGAAUUCCUGGUGUAGCGGUGAAAUGCGCAGAUAUCAGGAGGAACACCGGUGGCGAAGGCGGGUCUCUGGGCAACAACUGACGCUGAGGAGCGAAAGCGUGGGGAGCGAACAGG